AGUGAACGCUGGCGGUAGGCCUAACACAUGCAAGUCGAACGGCAGCACAGUAAGAGCUUGCUCUUACGGGUGGCGAGUGGCGGACGGGUGAGGAAUACAUCGCCAUCUACUUUUUCGUGGGGAAUAACGUAGGAAAACUUACGCUAAUACCUCAUACAACCUACGGGUGAAAGCAGGGGAUCUUCGGACUUUUCCCGUUUGAUUUAGCCGAUGUCGGAUUAGCUAGUUGGCGGGGUAAAGGCCCACCAAGGCGACGAUGCGUAGCUGGUCUGAGAGGAUGAUCAGCCACACUGGAACUGAGACACGGUCCAGACUCCUACGGGAGGCAGCAGUAGGGAAUAUUGGACAAUGGGCGCAAGCCUGACCCAGCCAUACCGCGUGAGUGAAGAAGGCCUUCGGGUUGUAAAGCCCUUUUGUUGGGAAAGAAAAGCAGCAUGUUAAUACCCCGCUGUUCUGACGGUACCCAAAGAAUAAGCACCGGCUAACUUCGUG
rnacentral:rRNA from 1 species